rnacentral:sRNA from 1 species
AUCGAGUAUCAUAAAUUAUUUAACAGCUCAAACGAAUUCAGCUACUGUACCUUGUUCUGGAUCACCUUAGAGCUUAGACCUGCAAAUUGAUGAUGCUCAUAUAAACCGCAUCCCACAUUUACCUCGCGUGGAACAACACUCAGCUCACAUCGAGGCAUGCAACUACAACUACAAGUGUCUGAUUUGAACUGGAUUGCAGGGAGAUCACA